rnacentral:siRNA from 1 species
GAGAAUUGAAGACGAGGUACCU